CAACUUUCAGCAACGGAUCUCUUGGCUCUCGCAUCGAUGAAGAACGCAGCGAAAUGCGAUAAGUAAUGUGAAUUGCAGAAUUCAGUGAAUCAUCGAAUCUUUGAACGCACCUUGCGCUCCUUGGUAUUCCGGGGAGCAUGCCUGUUUGAGUGUCAUUA
rnacentral:rRNA from 1 species